rfam:Nematocida parisii ERTm3 unplaced genomic scaffold supercont1.2, whole genome shotgun sequence.
GAUCAGAUGGCCGAGCGGUCUAAGGCGCUAGAUUAAGGCUCUAGUCUCUUCGGAGGCGCGGGUUCGAAUCCCGCUCUGAUCA